rnacentral:misc_RNA from 1 species
GUGAAUCAUCGAAUUUUUGAACGCAAAUUGCACUCUCUUCGGAGAGUAUGCCUGUUUGAGGGUCAGCCUAAAAAAAAAAUCGACAUAGUCGCUGUUUCGCGGUGAAUUUCGUCGGAAAUGGGGUUAUCUUAAACCUUUGGGUUUUAAGAGGCUUAAAAUUUUUUUUAGGUUUCCGCAAAGGUUUUUAAGUUUUACUUCUUUUACGUUUAAGGUUU